rnacentral:rRNA from 1 species
GGGGUAAACCUGCGAAACUCGAAUGAACGAACGGAGAGAUUCAUCGUCAUUCCGCGGCGUACGGAUGCGCGUUUCGAUGUCUUCGACCUCGGUCGGUGGGCACGUCGCGUAUACGUCGACGUCCGUGGACGGCGUGCACUUCUCUCUCAGUAACACAUGCAUCGCGACCCGUUCGAUGUCGGUCUAAGCGCCGUCCGGGAGCCCCGCUGUCCCCUCGCGGGGGCGACGGGACCGUGACGGACGCCGACCGGCCGUCGGACGGUAUAAUAUAUGAUUCGCGCACGCGUUUUCAACGCGUCCGGCCCGACGCAAGUCAACGUCGUAUCCGACGUUCCGCCCGAGUGCGGACGUAGGUGCGGCGCGUCUGUUGUCGCCGCCGUGCAGUCUCGGACUGUGCGCGUCUCCGUCUGCGAUGAUUCAGUUUCGGGCACUCGCAGGACCCGUCUUGAAACACGGACCAAGGAGUCUAGCAUGUAUGCGAGUCAUUGAGAUUAUUUCAUUAAACUGAAAGGCGUAACGAAAGUGAAGGCGCGCGCUCGUCGCGCGCUCAGGGAGGAUGGAGCGUCGAUCUAGGUCGAUCUCUCGCACUCCCGAGGCGUCUCGUUUCCAAUCUGUGAAUGCAGGCGCGCUC